UUGAAUAACACUUGAUGGGUUGUAGCUGGCUCUUUGGAGCAUGUGCACACCUGUCUUGCAUUCUAUUCAUCCAACUGUGCACUGUUUGUAGUCUUUGAGGGAACACAUAUAGUCGGUCGACAGAUCGGAAAAAGAGGAUUGCUUGCAGUCUUUGGUGAACCCUUGGAGUCUAUGUUUUUAACUAUAAACCAAUGAAGUAUGUUGUAGAAUGUAAUCAAUGGGCCUUUGUGCCUAUAAAAUCUUAUA
rnacentral:misc_RNA from 1 species